CGACGGUUCCCCGACCACGAAGUGAAGGGGAAUAAUAGGGAACACGGUGCGGAAGACCCCAUGAGGGGCCAAGACCGUGGCUGCCCCCGCAACUGUGAGCGGAUUGCCUCUCGUCCCCGGACAUCGAAACGAUGUCGUGCCACUGCGCUUUCGCGCGGGAAGGCAGACGAAAGGCAGAUAUCCGCAAGCCAGGAGACCUGCCGUCGAAAAUUU
rnacentral:ncRNA from 1 species